rnacentral:rRNA from 1 species
UUACGGCCACAUCACGUUGGAACACCGGUUCCCGUACAAUCGCCAAAGUUAAACAACGUCAAGCCUGGUCAGUACCUAGAUGGGUGACCGCUUGGGAAUACAAGGUGCUGUAG